AUUGAACGCUGGCGGCAGGCCUAACACAUGCAAGUCGAACGGAGCGGCGGACGGGUGAGUAAUGCCUAGGAAUCUGCCUGGUAGUGGGGGAUAACGUCCGGAAACGGACGCUAAUACCGCAUACUAUCAGAUGAGCCUAGGUCGGAUUAGCUAGUUGGUGGGGUAAUGGCUCACCAAGGCGACGAUCCGUAACUGGUCUGAGAGGAUGAUCAGUCACACUGGAACUGAGACACGGUCCAGACUCCUACGGGAGGCAGCAGUGGGGAAUAUUGGACAAUGGGCGAAAGCCUGAUGCAGCCAUGCCGCGUGUAUGAAGAAGGCCUUCGGGUUGUAAAGUACUUUCAGCGAGGAGGCGUUACCGCAGAAGAAGCACCGGCUAACUCCGUGCCAGCAGCCGCGGUAAUAC
rnacentral:rRNA from 1 species